AUUCUAAAUGCCUUUUAACUGAAGACUACUGCAGCAGUUGUUGCAACGUACAACUUCUUGACUUCUUGUCACUAAAGGCAUAAUCCAAAACAAUCAUGGCUCCAUUAGUUCAUACAACACACAGAAUCAUCUCAAGAAAAGCCAUUAUAUGAUAAGAAUGGGAAAACCCUAAGGGCCUGAGGCUCUAAGCACAAUUCAUUGGGCCGCAGCUGGUGGGCUUUUGUAUAACCCACCUUUUCAGAAACUCUUACCAGAGACAGACACCUGAAGAGUGGCCUGAUAUCCUUUUCAAAAACUCUUACCGGGAGUUGAUGCCUGAGGUUUUAGCUCGUUGACCAUCCCAACUGCUUUAUCCGCUCCCUUCUUUCAUAAUGUAAGGCGAUGGCCAUGACGAUGGCCAUGGUUAUGGCCUGUUCAGCAUUGCAGUUUCAGUUGAUUAUGGAAGGCUAUUGAGAAUGAUAACUUCUUGCAAUAUCCAAGCAUGAAUACACACUUUUACUGAAAAAAAAUAGAAUUGAGUCAAAUUCCAUAUCUCUAUUGACCACAUCUGUCACACUGCUUAUGAUGUCAUGGGAAUCUCUACGAAUGUGCAUAUAUUUGAUUAAGCAUGUAGUAGUACCCUUUGAUAGCUAUGUUAAUUGUCAAAGACCAAGAGCAACAACUAUGUUCCCACUGGUAAAACAAAUCUUCAUCACCUUGAUAUCCCUGAUCCUUAAACUCUCUCGUAAAAUAAUUCCAAUAAAUCUCAUGAAUGUGGGACAUGAUCUAUCUCCUGUGUAGAAAGAGUAAUUGUUGCUUUCAUUUCUUCUAAGCGUACACAAUGUUGUUCAACCCUCUGUCUUUGGUCAACAACCGAGUCUUUUCACUCAAAUCUGACCGCCCACAGUUUUUAUACAAAUUUGCAAGCUGCGUAUAGAAUGCAGGAUCCGACGGAUCAAGCUCAAGACCUAGCCUUGCCACUUGUUCUCCAAGAGCCAUAUUCUUAUGAACUCUGCAGGCAGCCAACAAAGUUCUGUAGAUCAAAGCAUCUGGCUUAAAAGGCAUAGUUUCUAGGGCAUCCAUAGCCUCCUCCAGCCUGCCAGCUCGGCCAAGGAGAUCUACUAAACAAACAUAGUGAUCCAAUUGUGGUUCAACAUCGUGCAUCUCCCUCAUAGAAUAAAAGUACUGGAGACCCAGGUCCACUAAACCUCCAUGACUGCAAGUGAAAAGCACUGACAAGAAUGUAACAGAAUUAGGUUUGACUCCUGAUAACCUCAUAUCAUCAAAAGCAGAAAGAGCAGAGGAGACAUAUCCAUUUGAUGCCAAUCCAGAUAUCAAGCCAUUCCAUGAUACAACAUCCGGCUUAUUUAUUUCUGUAAAUGCUCUGCGAGCAUCAUUAAGAAGUCCACAUUUCCCAUACAGGUCAACUAGGCUAUUCGAGACUGAAAUGCAGCCGCUUAAACCGGAUUUCACAGAAUAACAGUGAAGUUGCUUCCCAGUUUCAGUUCUGCCCAAGCUAGCUGAUGCAGAAAAGAAGCAUGCCAGGCUAUAUCCAUCUAUCUCCACUUUGUCAUUGAACAUGUGACCCAUUACAUUUAAUGCAAGUUCAUGACGGCCCAUCUGAUUAAAUCUUGAAGCCAGACUUGUGUAUGUGAUGGCAUCUCGUUGCUUCAUAUAUCGUACCACAUGCCAUGCAUCAUCUACCUGCCCCGAUCCUGCAUAAGCAUCCACAAGAGCAUUACCAACUAUAAUAUCAUGGUCUGCAUUAGUCUUGAUUAUAAAUCCAUGUAGCUGCGACGUCUGAUUCAGAGAUUUUAUUGCACUGCAGGCCCUGAGAAUGAUAGAGAGAGUAAAUGAAUUCGGUUGCUCUCCAACAGCCCUCAUCUCCAUAAAUGAGUUAAACGAAUCCUGUUGAAAUCCAUGUUCAGAAAAACCUGCAAUCAAUGAUGUCCAAGAGAUGAUAUUAGGUGACUCUAUACCUGUAAACACUCUCAACCCAUCUUCUACUGUGAGAGAACAUUUCAUGUACAUAUCAACAAGUGCAUUUCCUAUGGGAACAUCGUACUCCAAGCCAGUCUUGAUAACCCUAGAGUGGAUCUGCCUUCCCAAAUCCAGUGACAGAAUUGACGUGCAAGCAACCAGCAUACUCAAAUAUGUGAAUUUAUUUGCCAAUAUUCCAGAAAUCUCCAUCUCCUGAAAUGCAGUAACAGCCUCCUUGAACUUGAAGUUCUGAGCCAAUCCAGAGAUAAUGGCAGUCCAUAAUAAUACAUCAUAUUCGGGUGUGAGCUUUGAGAUCUUAAUGGCAUCUUCCAUCAUCUGGUAUCUUGAAUACAUAUCAAACAGUGCCGUCUUUACUACCAAAUUCAUUUCAACUCCCAAAACUAUCAUAUGGGCAUGAAACAAUUUCCGAUGGUUCAAACUAAGUGAACCAGAUGCCGCUAAAAGUUUAACAAAAGUAAACUCGUUUGGAGAAACAUCAGAUUCUAUCAUAUCCUUAUAAAGCCGCAAAGCCUGACUCCACUUCCCAGCUUGUACAGAAGAAGAAAUCAUCGUGGUCCAUGAUAUGGUAUCACUUUUAUCCAUAUAGCUAAAAAGCUUACAUGCCUCGUCAGAAGAAUUAAACUUGCAGUAGAAACCAAUUAAAGCGCUACCCAAAAUUUGGUUCGACUCGAACCCAUGCUUUAUUGAAGAAGCAUGAAUACGUUUUCCAAAACUGAAUUCUCCCAGAGCAGAACAUGAACGUAAGACGGUGGAUAAAGUGAAGGCAUUUGGAAACGGACCCGAAAGGAUCAUAAGAUCGAAGAUAUCAAGGGCCUCUUCGUGUUUCUCCUCCUUAACAUAAGCAGAGAGAAUCCCAGUCCAGGAAACAACAUCCCUGCGCGGCAUUUCAUCGAAGAAUUGGCGUGCAUGUUCCACCCCGAAGCAUUUCCCGUAAAGAGACAGCAGAUUGUUGUUUAAAUACAAAUGAUCUUGAAUACCCAAUUUGAUUAUUUGGCUGUGAAUGCAAACACCCUGUUUCAAAGACUUGGAGUUGCAGAAAGAAGCAACCCGCGAACAUACGUCUCGAAAACGGUGUAGUAGCUCCGUUUUUUCAGCGAUCGGGAUAGGUAUUUGACGUAACAUCUUUUCAUUGCACUCUUUGGUCUAGCAGGAAAUUUCCUCGUGGAUCAAUGUAAUUUUCAUGGAAUUUUCCUUUUGGUGCCGUAGUCAUCGCGAUGCCAUCACCACAGCAUCCUGGAAAUUUUCUUCAUCCGUUGAAACAGAGAAAUGACGCCAUUAGGCUUGCUAUUCG
rnacentral:misc_RNA from 1 species